GCGACAUAAUCGUUACCUCACGGUGGCUCUGGUGUUGCGCUCCGGUGCGCAUCAGAGUCUCUAACGUGUUCGGGGGCCGGUCACGGUAGUUCAAUCCCUGACUGUUCCUCGGUGUCGCAGAGCAAAUCGCCCCUUCCGCUCGGUUGUGUGGCGAUGAACGGUAUAUUCCUUGAACUUCGUCGUACCUUCGUCCUCUGGGCGAUGAUCACGGAGAUAAACCAUACCGUUCACAGUU
rnacentral:snoRNA from 1 species